rnacentral:tRNA from 1 species
UUAGUCGAAACCAAAAAUUGAGGUAUAUCACUGUUAAUGAUAAAAUUGAAUAUCUAUUCCGUCUAAG